AAAUAGUGUAAUUUAAUUUUAUUAAAUUGAAAUUAAAAUUUUUAAAUAAAAAUUUGUAAAAUUUAUUAGGUGAAAUUAAAAAUUUUUAUAAAUAUUUAUUUAUUGAUUUUGAAGUUUUGAAAUUUUUAUAUAAACUAGGAUUAGAUACCCUAUUAUUUUAAAUGUAAAUUUAAAUUUUAUUAUUAAAAGCUAAAUCUUUAAAGUAAAAAAAUUUGGCGGUAUUUUAGUCUUUUCAGAGGAACCUGUUUUUUAAACGAUAAUCCACGAUUUUUUGUACUUGAAUUUUUAAUUUGUAUAUCGUCGUGUUAUAAGAUUUUUAUAGAAGAAAAAUUUUAUUAUUUUUAAUUAAAAUUUAUAUCAGAUCAAGGUGCAGUUUAUAUUUAAGUUUUAAUGGGUUACAAUAAAUUUAUUUAGACGGACAUAUUAAUUAAUAUUAAUUUUUAAGGUGGAUUUGAAAGUAAUAAUAUUUAUUUAAUAUUAUGAUUUAGCUCUAAAAUAUGCACAUAUUGCCCGUCACUUUCAAUGAUAUGAAAUAAGUCGUAGCAAAGUAGUCUUACUGGAAAGUGUGUCUAGCUAGA
rnacentral:rRNA from 1 species